rnacentral:rRNA from 1 species
ACCUGGUCGAUUCUGCCGGACCCGACUGCUAUCAGAGUGGGACUAAGCCAUGCGAGUCAACAUAGCAAUAUGUGGCAUACGGCUCAGUAACACGUAGUCAACAUGCCCAGGGGACGUGGAUAACCUCGGGAAACUGAGGAUAAACCGCGAUAAGUCACUACUUCUGGAAUGGGUAAUGACUCAAAUCUACAUGGCCCCUGGAUUGGACUGCGGCCGAUCAGGCUGUUGGUGAGGUAAUGGCCCACCAAACCUGUAACCGGUACGGGCUCUGAGAGGAGGAGCCCGGAGAUGGGCACUGAGACAAGGGCCCAGGCCCUAUGGGGCGCAGCAGGCGCGAAACCUCUGCAAUAGGCGAAAGCCUGACAGGGUUACUCUGAGUGAUUUCCGUUAAGGAGAUCUUUUGGCACCUCUAAAAAUGGUGCAGAAUAAGGGGUGGGCAAGUCUGGUAUCAGCCGCCGCGGUAAUACCAGCACCCCGAGUGGUCGGGACGUUUAUUGGGCCUAAAGCAUCCGUAGCCGGUUCUACAAGUCUUCCGUUAAAUCCACCUGCUUAACAGAUGGGCUGCGGAAGAUACUAUAGAGCUAGGAGGCGGGAGAGGCAAGCGGUACUCGAUGGGUAGGGGUAAAAUCCGUUGAUCCAUUGAAGACCACCAGUGGCGAAGGCGGCUUGCCAGAACGCGCUCGACGGUGAGGGAUGAAAGCUGGGGGAGCAAACCGGAUUAGAUACCCGGGUAGUCCCAGCUGUAAACGAUGCAGACUCGGUGAUGGACUAGCUUUAUGCUGGUCCAGUGCCGCAGGGAAGCCGUUAAGUCUGCCGCCUGGGUAGUACGGUCGCAAGACUGAAACUUAAAGGAAUUGGCGGGGGAGCACCACAAGGGGUGAAGCCUGCGGUUCAAUUGGAGUCAACGCCGGA